rnacentral:rRNA from 1 species
GGGUCAGUAGGUUGGUCGUGCCACCGGUACGUACUGGUCUCACUGAUUCCUCCUUCCUGAAGAACCGUAAUGCCAUUAAUUGGUGUUGCGGGGAAACAGGACUGUUACUUUGAAAAAAUUAGAGUGUUUAGAGCAAGCUAACGCUUGAAUACAUUAGCAUGGAAUAAUGAAAUAGGACGAUCGAUCCUAUUUUGUUGGUUUCUAGGAUUGACGUA